GGGCGUCCCGGUGUACACACGGCGGGCCCGGUCCCGCCACACAUGCCGUGCUUUUUGAACACCCGCCGUGGGCUAAGCAUGGGACCCACGUGGGGUGAGGACACAUGGCGAUAAAGAGAGCCAGGCCCUUGCUGCCAAGGAGCUUUCCCGUAACACCGAUGCUUCAAACAAAAGAUAUUAAAGACAUUGGCGGUGACACUGGAAUGGAUGCGAAGAUGGGAGAGGUCUACCCAUAGCCCUUUCUACAGAGCAGAACUGAGGCUCAGAUAUUGAGGUAGAUUAAAGAUGGCUGCCAGUUCAGUGCUACUUGUCCCUUGAACUGUGAAGUCUUAUCCCCCUCCUCGGGUCUGCACCAGCCUUGAUGACUUGCUCACUGCACUGUGGUAGAAGUGAUGGUGCAUGACUUCCAAGGUUAGACCAGAAGAAGCCUUGAAGUUCCUGCCUUGGUCUCUUGAAACAACUUACCGUGUAAGAAGUCUGACACCCUGAGACUGCCAUGUUGGCACAGUUAUGGGUGGAUGCUCCAGUAGACGGAUCCAGCUGAGCCCAGCCCUCCAGUCAUUCCCACCCCCAAACCAUGGGUGAAACUGUCUUGGACCCUCCAGUCCAGCCCACUCAACAUCUAAAUACCACAGACCGACCUCAGCUGAUACCAUCACCCAGUUAAAAUGUGCCUGAAACUGACCCACAAAAUCAUGAGAUAAACUAAAAUGGUUGUUGUCCUAAGCCACUAAGAUAAUAGAGCAGAUAUAUAUGCACUUAACACUC
rnacentral:lncRNA from 1 species